rnacentral:snoRNA from 1 species
GCAUGGGUUUGGAUGGAUGGCAGGCCCGUCCCCCUGGGUCUCUCAUGUGCCCCGUGCCAGAGCAAGCUGCGCCUUGAACCAUUGCCCGGACCGUAGGCUGCAGGCAAGGAAGCAGGUUGCACAGGG